rnacentral:rRNA from 1 species
AGUGAACGCUGGCGGUAGGCCUAACACAUGCAAGUCGAACGGCAGCACAGUAAGAGCUUGCUCUUACGGGUGGCGAGUGGCGGAUGGGUGAGGCAUACAUCGGAAUCUAUUUUUUCUUGGGGGAUAACGUAGGGAAACUUACGCUACUACCGCAUACGACCUACGGGAGAAAGCAGUGUAUCUUCGGAUUUUGUGGGAUUGGAUGAGCCGAUGUCAGAUCAGCUAGUUGGCGGGGUAAUGGCCUACCAAGGCGACGAAGGGUAGCCGGUCUGAGAGGGUGAACGGCCACACUGGGACUGAGAAACGGCCCAGACUACUACGGGAGGCAGCAGUGGGGAAUAUUGCACAACGGGCGGAAGCCUGAUGCAGAGACGCCGCGUGAGGGAUGACGGCUUUCGGGUUGUAAACCUCUUUCAGCACGGAAGAAGCGAGAGUGACGGUACGUGCAGAAGAAGCGCCGGCUAACUACGUG